ensembl:lncRNA LINC01539 long intergenic non-protein coding RNA 1539
AAGAAUAUCCUUGCUGUGCCAAGAAAGAAAAGACCAUGGAUCUACUAGUUGCAGAUUUCAGCAGUAAUGCCAAGGGGGCAAGAAGUGACCAGCAGAACAAUUAGGCCAUGGCAACAGAAGCCAACUACAACCCAUGUUCCAAUCUAUGACCUCCCUCUCCUGCUGGUACAAGGAUAUGAUCUGGAGUCUGGGAAGUUCAAGAGCAUGGCACCAACAUCUGGCAAGGGCUUUCAUUCUGCAUCAUCUCAUGGAGGAAAAUAAAAAGGAGGCUGGAUGCUCCUGUGAAGUACGUCUUUUAUCUACUUGCUAUCUUUGCAAUUCCUUCAUGCUACAAUGAGAGAUAGAGUUUAAACCUGAAAACAUUCUUGGAAAAGGAAUCUUCAUUAAUUCAAAUAUACCACAAGGUUCUGCCACUGUGGCCAUCACCUGGGAUUGGAGAAAGGCAAAUGGAACAGACCAACUCAGAAUUACAGUCCUCAUUUAUUUCAUCAGAGGUUGGCCUGUACUUACAUUAGCCCUUUCUGGCUAGAGCUUCAUGUCUCACCCACUGUCUGUUCACUUCUGACCUGAAACAAUGGGACUGCAGAAGAGAGAAGGAAAAUAUCUGGUGGUCAGGCUAACUCUGUGUACCCCAUGAUGAAGAUGUUUUCCAUAGGAGUUCAUUGUCACAGUUAAAAAAACUAUUGGCAAUUUCAUGUGGGUUAGUGUAAUGGAAUUCUAAUGGAACAUAAGAAAAGAAGGGAAAAACAGAAACAAAAACAAGAUGAGCACUCUGCAAUGGGAAAAGCUCCACGUAGGAGGUGAAACUUGAGCUGGACCUAAACGUGUGGACAGGCUUUGAAGAAAAGGAAAAGGACUUGGAAAGAAGAAGUGAAUUAGAUUCACCACCAUCACUACUCUAAGUAUUUUUCUUCUUGAGAAAGAGAAGGAGAGGGAAAGCAAGGAAGAGGAAGAGAAAGAGAAAUGGAUAAAAACAUGGUCAAGUAGAAGAGUCUGUGAUUUCAGGUAAAUCCAGAUUUGGAGCUUAAAUGACUCAAAUGCUUUGCCUACAUUGAUCCUACAUUCAGGCUGCUUACAUAUCUCUUGGCUUCUCUGAGAACCAGAUUGUCACCACUUAAAGUGUCUUCCAGAGUCCUCACGAGUAUCAGAGAAGGCAUAAUCUGUACACGUGGCUUCAUUUAAAAUGAAAAUAUCAAGCAGUGUCAUUUUCACAAGUAUCCCCACACUGUCUGAGGCUGAAAAGAAGAGUGUAGCUAUGCACACUGCAGUGAGAAGAAAAUUUCAGCUCAAUUGGAGGAUGUAAAGAUUGAAAUACCACUGCUCCUAGUUCUGAUGCAAAAUUGAAAAGAGUGCACUGGGUCUUCAAAUGGCAUAUUGACAAGGAGAAAGAGGAAAGGAUGCCCCAGGACAGCCUGGGGGUCAAGGCUGGGCUCAGGCAUGCCUGGACAAGCCAUGCAAGUUGUCUCCGGACUUGAACCACGUAUCAGAGGAGCUAUUUGAGGAGCCACAUCAGCAUACCUGCUUCUGUGGGCCCCCAGGCUGUGGUGCUCAGCCCUUGCACUAUGAAACAUUUUUUUUUUCCAGAAGCCAAAGCUUUGAGCAUCUCCUCCCAUGUAGAGAGUGUAUAUGUUUACGUCCAUGUCUUUCGCCAUGUGAACGCAUGCAACCACCACCUCAAAUAUCAUAAAUCCUCUCUCUCCCCCUUUCUGUCUGCCUGUUUAUCUACAAUCUGUCUAUUUAAAUUCUUUUUAAACAAGAAGGGAAUAUCUUUAUGCCUGUUUGUAGGGAUAUUCUACAUCCAUCUGUUAUUUACAUCAUUCGUUUUCCUGAGGUGUCUCCAACAAAUCCUGGCUGGAUGCACUGUAUGUGUUAUUAAUAAAACAGCUGUAAAAA